CCCGCCGCCCGCCCCGCUCACCCGAAAUCCUGGUCCAUGGACUUGAAGAAGAACUUGUAGCUGUGCACGGGCCGGUUGCUGAGGACAUUUUUGAAAUCGGCCAGAGUGACUUUCUCCGGCGGGACGGGCAGCUUCACCAGAGAAAUAGUCUUUCAAUAUUCUUUCAAACUUCCCAGAAUAUUCCGCUGCUUUCUGAGAAGGGCUAAAUCCCAGCUCAGGGACUGAACUACCUGCGGCACUGGACAGAUUUUUCUACCAGCUUGAAACAGAGGAGCCAACUGUGUUAGAGGCUGCCAAAAGCAUGGUGCUCUAGUUUGCCUGUGGCAUUUAAGAGGAGGGGAAAAAAAAAAAAAAAGGUAAGUUUAAAUCUUAGGAAAAUGCUGUUGAGUCAGAUGUUCCCAGUGGGGCUGGCAUCAGCUCCAGGAUGAUCUCACUUUGCCCAAAGUAUCUUUUUUCAGGAGGUCUCAUUUGGCUUCCCCUCACCAUGAAGAAUCUCACCUACAGAUUGUAGCAGGGGCUGACCAGGAAAGUCCCACAACAAUACCAGAAUGGGUACUUCAGAGGAGAUCUUUGUCGUACAUGGCCCCUGGCUCUACCUGCUCAACUUUUUUCUUUGUUGUAACAGAAUUAAUUUUCUGAUCACUCGUUCUCAGCGACAGCAGAGGCCAGAGAGAAGGAACUACUCCCCACCUCCUUCUCACUGUCUUCAGCUCCCAACCCUUUUAACCUAGGGUUUACACACACACCUACACCCCCACACACCCCCACACCCUCCCCAGUUAUCUGAGAAGACACAAGCAGCCAUCACUGGGCAAUCCACCCUAGUGAAGACGUGGUAUGAAAUGGCUGGCUGUAGUAUGAUUUCCAACCAGGUGAGAGAAAAGAUAAUACUUCCACCAGAGGUAGACAAGCCGGUCCAUAAUCUUAGUUUGCUAAAUGCACUUCUUUGCCACUUUUUAGCUUCGUAUCCUGCUUUGAUCCUUCAAAUUCUUGCACCUGCACUGUCCAUCCAUGCAGCAAUACAAGCUGUUUCCAUCAGUGUCCCUGGAAGAACUCUGUCAUGCCAGCUGGGAUACUACUCAGUGGGUGGAAGCCCUCCAAGAGCAGAAUGUGCAGCAGGAACUUUGCAAGGUGUUAGUUCUGCAAGGAAAAGAGGAAUUUGGGCUGGAAGCGAAGUAUAAAACUGUGCAGCUAACUAUUCCAGCAGGACAUGUUACCUUCCCUUCUGGCCCUGCCAAAUUAUGUACUAUGAAGGAGCUGCCAGCCUUCAGUUCUGAUAGAUGCUUUGAACAUACCAUCUACAGCUGCAGAUCUGUUCAGUAUACAACACUUCUGAAAAGCUAAAAUCCGUCUGCGGGCCCUAUGACCAAGUCAAAUGAUGAUGUCCCAUGUGGAAACCACAUUGAAAUCACUGGAAUAACUUAUUGCAUCCGCUCUGCACUUUGUCAAGCACUUUGGGAUGCUCCAAGAUGAAAUAUACUGCACAGCUAUUGGGAAGAAUUAGUAAUGCUGGCUAAUGGCUUAGAUAGCAUCUCCAAAGAGCAAGAAAUAAAAUCAACCUUAACUUGAAACUCCAUUAUAUUCUCCUUUAUUUCUUAAAUGUUAGGAGAGUUACAGAACAAUGAUAAAUGGUAAAAGUUAAGUGACAACAAUAAUGAAAAUUAAUUCUGUUACAACAAAGAAAAAAGUGUUACGGAACAAGCCCUCCUCUCUGUCUUGAGAGGAAGCAGAGCAUGCACAGAGCUGAAAAGAAGGGGCUCUUGUUCUCGUCUCAGUUUUAACCCCUUUCAAGGUCCCUUUUCUUGU